CAAUAGAGUUAGCAUGAAGAAUGA
rnacentral:misc_RNA from 1 species